UACGUAGGUGACAAGCGUUGUCCGGAUUUACUGGGCGUAAAGAGCGCGCAGGCGGUCGUUCAAGUCGCGUGUGAAAGCCCCCGGCUCAACUGGGGAGGGUCACGCGAUACUGAUCGACUCGAAGGCAGGAGAGGGAAGUGGAAUUCCCGGUGUAGUGGUGAAAUGCGUAGAGAUCAGGAAGAACAUCGGUGGCGAAGGCGCUCUGCUGGACCAUAACUGACACUCAGGGACGAAAGCUAGGGGAGCGAAUGGG
rnacentral:rRNA from 1 species